rnacentral:rRNA from 1 species
UACGUAGGGGGCAAGCGUUGUCCGGAUUUAUUGGGCGUAAAGAGCGUGUAGGCGGCCUGGCAGGUCUGCUGUGAAAACUCGAGGCUCAACCUCGAGAUGUCGGCGGAAACCGUCUGGCUAGAGUCCGGAAGAGGAGAGUGGAAUUCCUGGUGUAGCGGUGAAAUGCGCAGAUAUCAGGAAGAACACCCGUGGCGAAGGCGGCUCUCUGGGACGGUACUGACGCUGAGACGCGAAAGCGUGGGGAGCGAACAGG